rnacentral:lncRNA from 1 species
UGCGGAUAAAGGUUAUCAGGAUAUCCCAGACUAUUCCCCCUAACCCUUGGGGGGCUCUAGAAAGUCCAGAAUUUCAAAGGGAGGCCUCUGGUCAACGAAGCAGUCACUUUAGCUCUAAGUCAGCUGUCGAAUGGGAGAGUUUCAGAGCACUUCUCCCCAGGCCUCCAUAACACCAUCAACAAGAGUAAAAAGAUGAACCCAGAGCCCUGCAUGUUCCUGGCAACCAACACCCUCUCAACUAACACAUUGCCACAGUGCCAUGAUCUGCCUAUCUGGGGUUAAUUCCAGCACGACCUUUAUAUCAGGUUAUACUUUUUAAAAAUAAGAAAUCCAAGACUCUCACCUGGUUUUUAUUCCUGUGAGGCUCAGUACAUCCCCUCACGCGACCCCAAUCCUCAACUCUCAAAACCCUUCUCCUUGUCUUCAUAGUCCAGCAUCGGCAAAAUCCCUCCUCUGUCCGAGGCUUACGCAUCAACCUCUUCUCUGAAUGUUGCUUUCACCUACGGCUCUAGGAGGAAACCUGGCAUUCCCUGAAGGCUCAGCUUCCCUGCAGCCAUUUCAAGUGGCAGCUGCUUUCUUUCUCACACCCCUCAAACAACUAGACCUCCAGGUGGAGGAGAAGUCCUCCUAGAACCACACUGCCACUCUCAGAUCAUUUUCCCUUUUCCUUAAAACUCCGAUUUUGAAUGUCGUAUAAUCAGACCAAAACCCAAGUUGUCCCUCCUUCGCGGAGUCCAACAUUACUACUGUCAUAAUUCUUGUUGAUUUCAACAUUUACAGUUGAUCUUUCCAAUGCACUGAUCGUAGUGGGAUGAAUGACGGCCCCCCAAAAGAUAUGUCCACAUCCUAAUCUCUGGAACCUGCAUUACCUUAUAUGGCAGAAGAGUGAAUAUUACCUUCUAUGACAAAAUUAACUUAAGAAUCUAGAUGGGAGAGGAAGCAUUUACCCUGGAUUACCUGGUUGGGCCCAAAAUGCAAUCAAAUGUAUUUUCAUAUAAGACAGAUACACAGAGGAGAAGAGACAGAUGAGAAGAAGGCAAUGUAACCCAGGAGGCAGAGACUGAAGUGACACAGCCACAAAGUCAAAGAACGCCAACUGCAGCUAGAAGCUGGAAGAGGGAAAGAACAGUGUGAUGUUCAAUGUCUGGAGCCUGCUGGAACUACCCACCAUUGGUUCUCCUGGUUCUCAGGCCUUCAGACCAGGAUUGGACCUAUAUCAUCAGUUCUCCUGGGUCUCCAACUUGCCAACUCACCCCGCAGAUCUUGGGACUUGUCAUCCUCCAUAACUGCAUAAGCCAUUUCCUUACAAUAAAUCUCACAGACAUGCGCGUGCCCACCCUAUUGAGUCUGUUUCUCUAGAGAAUCCUAAUACAAAGAGAUACUUUCCUAGAGCUUGCAGAGAGAGUGUGGCUCUGCUGACACUUCGAUUUCAAACUUGUGUCCAGCACUGUGAGAGGGUUUAGGACCCCAGGUUGGUGGUAGUUUGUUAUGGCCUCCACAGGAAGCUAAUAUAUCUGUUAAUACAUAUGUCCUCUCUGAAUUCUUCUUCAGCAACUGUUCUCCCACCCUAUGUUGGCUGCCAUUUCUAGUCACCUCCUACCUACAACAUUUUAUUGCCAGUUACUGUACAUUACCUGAAAUCUCAGUUUCAAGCACCUACUCUCACCAACUUCUGUCUUUCUAGCACAUUCCUUCUAGUAGUCUGCCUAGAAAAAUACUUCAACCCACUGAACCUAUACUACAUUGAGCCUACCAUCUUUAUCUUGUCUCCCUCACGGCCUAAUUUCUCUCUUGAACCAAGCUCCAUGUCUACAUUUGAUAUUAUAUUUUCUUUGCACACACUCAACACCCC